ACGCUCGACACCUACUGGAGGCAGCAGUGAGGAAUAUUGGUCAAUGGACGCAAGUCUGAACCAGCCAUGCCGCGUGCAGGAUGACGGCUCUAUGAGUUGUAAACUGCUUUUGUACGAGGGUAAACGCAGAUACGUGUAUCUGUCUGAAAGUAUCGUACGAAUAAGGAUCGGCUAACUCCGCGCCAGCAGCCGCGGUAAUCUGAGCGGGCUGGCAAGGC
rnacentral:rRNA from 1 species